rfam:Nicotiana attenuata strain TT chromosome 7, whole genome shotgun sequence.
AUACCUUUCUCGGCGUUUUAGCUAAGAUCAAGUGUAGUAUUUAUUUUAAUCAGUUUAAUAUCUGAUAUAUGAAUCGUCAGUACGCAUAUUAUUAAUUUAAUUUUUUAAGGGGAAGGUACAUCAAAGUAGUUUGCCACUUGGGCCUCGCGCGUCCCAAGCCUGGCUCAACUCAU